rnacentral:rRNA from 1 species
GACGAACGCUGGCGGCGUGCCUAACACAUGCAAGUCGAACGGAAAGGCCCUGCUCUUGUGGGGUGCUCGAGUGGCGAACGGGUGAGUAGCACGCGAGUAACCUGCCCUUGACUGUGGGAUAACUUCAGGAAACUGGGGCUAAUACCGGAUAGGAGCUCCUGCUGCACGGUGGGGGUUGGAGAGAUUCGGCGGUUGGGGAUCGACUCGCGGCUUAUCAGCUUGUUGGGGGGGUAGUGGCUUACCAAGGCUUUGACGGGUAGCCGGCCUGGGAGGGUGACCGGCCACAAUGGGACUGAGAUACGCAGCAGACUCGUACGUGAGGCAGUAGUGGGGAGUCUUGCGCAAUGAGCGGAAGCGUGAUGCAGCGGCGCUGCGUGCGUGAUGCCGGCCUUCGGGUUGUAAACAGAUGUCGCCUGUGACGAAGAGUGCGUGACGGUACUGGGUCAGGAAGCACCGGCUAACUACGUG